ACGAUUCUAAAUUCGACAAUAACAAAAGGAAAAUAUCCGGUCCAUUAAAAUUAAGAUAUCCGGUCGUUAAUGCUACUACAAAUUUGGCAGAAUUUUCCGAAACAAAAAAGCGCCAACAAUCACCGCUAAGAUCUCAGUUCGUUUUCUUUGCCCUAUUCUAAGAACCCUAAGCCCCAAAGUGCAAAAUGAGCACGACACCGGACUCUCCGCUACCAUCGCCUUGUUGCUCUCCCUCUUCAAUUACUGCUCGUUUUGUUGAUUCCAGAGGUUUUCGCUAUUAUAAAUUGGUGUUUUGUCCAAUUUAGGAUUUGUGAUAGAAGAGAUAUAGAUAAUUUUGAUUUGUUGAGAAAGGAUGUUACUAAGCAUCAACAUUGAAGACACAUUGAUCCUUACAUCAGCCUGCAGAGUAGUAAGGUUUUUGCAGAACCUUAUCUGAUUUUAUUUUAAUGGUUUCUACUUCUGUGUAGCAUUACUGGAGUGGUUUUUUGUGCAGUAGUAGGAAAAUAUGAUGUCAGAUUGGUUAAAUUCAGGUGUUUGAGGAUGUUCACAAGCACAACAAGGCCAAAGAUUGCUGGCUUAUCAUCGAUGAUCUUUUUUUAUCUUUGAUACCAAGUUAGUUUUAAUUAUCAGUCAUUUUAUUGUCUUAUCAUCAGCGGAAAGGUUAUUAUAUUAUAGCUUCAUCCAUUUUAUUUUUAUAUUUCUUUUGUGUCACUGGUGAUUUUAGUCAUACUGAUUAUCUAUAUGAGUUUUUGGUUAUCUGUCCUUUUCUUAGCAAUACAUUAGGCAAAUGCCUAGGCCUAGUUUUUAUAUAUAUCUAAAUCAAAAUCAGAAAACAAACCAAAGUAAUGUAGUGUGUUAAAAGAUGUAGAGACAUAAUCUAUGUUGAAUACAUAGCCCUUAAUAUCAUAAUUGAGUAAAAUAUACUCCACUAUGGUAGUAUAUUUUGAACUAGUUGAGAGAUGACAAAGCAAUCUACGUAAGUCGUGAGUAGAAACUAGCCCUAUGAAUGCAGAAAAAGCAUCAAAUAUCCACACUGCCCAGUAGGGAAUGAGCAUUCCUCGUCGCUUGAUGUAAUCCCAUUUUUGCUCUUGUAACUAGUAGUGAUAUCAAGAAACCUCGCCGCAUAUAGUUAAAAUCAAAUACCAGUUCUGGUACCUUGUAGUCACACACAUGUUUUGGUGUGGCCCUCCUUGUACGCAUAGGAUUUGUCCUCCACAUUACAUCACUGUUCCCUACUUGCAACUCCUGCGUGCCUGCAUUCCUCCUUUUUUCUAGUGUCCAGCAAAUGUGUGAGACUGUGAGUAGUUGUGGAUGCAUUGUUUGGUGUGGAAAUCGUGUGUUUUCCAGCAGCAAAAUGAUGAAGCCUUUGUGAGGCACCAUUCAUUGGAUGUAGCUCCCGUUUUUGAAUGCCAAAAAAGUGUAACUUCCAUGUUUAUGUCACUCAGAAUUCUGGGCAGUAUGCUUCUCGAGUAUUCUUUGUUCCUUAUUUUCACCAGUGACAUCCCUUUCUGGGAAUGAGCACAUAAUGCUAAUAUCACCCAUAGAGUUUUAAUCACAUGAUGAGGGAUGGUAACAAUGGCGUUUUCUGUCAUGAAUGAGUCGGAAGUUUCUUGGCAUGUUUCUCCUGUAAAUACCUUCUUUUGUGCCCCUUCUUUGUAGCCUGAUCUGACCAAGGUUAUCUGUCUUUGGAUAUGCAUAUUUUGUUAAUUUUUUCUGUUUAGAUAUCUGUGAUAUAGAAGAUGUUGUGCCUUUAACUUAUCGAAUUAAUUUGGUUUGGUGAUUAACUUUUUCUUUUUGAGCGGUGGUGAUCAACUUUGACCGAAUUAGAUUUCUUAAGUUGGUUUCAAAUUGCCAAUUGUUUCCUAUUAAAGAAGUUCAUUUAUUGACAGAUAGGCAAUGAAUUGUUAGUUGUCUACAAUAUCAUUAGCUCUUUCUAAUUAUUUUAUAAAAGUAUCAUUUGGGACUUUGACUAGUCUAGUUUGUAAUCUAUAUUUUUUGGAGCUUGUUCUGCUAUAUUGAAGUGUUGAAACUUGGAAGGCCAAAGAGUUUAACUUCUCUGACUGAAGGAAUACAAAGAAGCUGAUGGUCUGUACCUAGUAACGAUAUUUUCUACGUAUUAAUAAAAGUCAUAUUCUUAAAUAUGUAUGUAAUUUAGGUAGUUUGUUUUAUCCUUUUCAUGUUUUUUCUAGUUAGUGUUGAAAUAAAUUGUGAAUCUUAUUAAACUGGAAAAACGGAAGCGUUGUUUAUGUUAGUGAUUUAAUACAGAGAAUUCAACGAAGUCAUACAACAGGGGAUGAAAGUAGAAAGAAAUGCUUCAAACUUAAAUUUAUUUUAAGAAGAAAGACGAUUGUUUCUUACUUAUCUUUUGGGUUUAAGUUGUGCGGUUAAUUAUUUUUUCCAUUGACUUUUGUUGUGAUAAAAGAGCAUAGUAUCACAGGUUUUGAGAGCCAGCUCAUUAUAUCAACUCAAGCACUAUGGCACAAUGUUAUUGUUAUAACAAGCAUAUCCCAAUGGGAUGAAUCCAUGGAAAGAGAAGUCAAUCACUUUUUGAUUCAAAGCCUUGGGAAGUUUUACUUAAGGAGAAUGGUUUUGAUUGGAGGAAGACUUGAUUUGGACUUGAAGCAUUAACAAGUUCACAGAUCAAGAAUUUGAAGUCCGACGAACCUGUUCUUGAAGAAAGUGCGGAGCAAAUUGAAGCACAACAGUAUUUUUGUUUUGUUAGUGGUGUUUUAAAGAUGUUGGCAUUUGUACAUUCUACUAUAGUUCUAUUAUCUCUGUUUGUAGAGUUGAUAAAAGUAGUGUCAUGCUAUUUGUUUAGGUAUAUAUUCUGACAGGGUGAUCCUUUAGUUCUUUGUAAUUAACAAUGAAACAUUAAUAAAUUUUAAUU